UACGUAGGGUGCAAGCGUUAAUCGGAAUUACUGGGCGUAAAGCGUGCGCAGGCGGUUAUAUAAGACAGAUGUGAAAUCCCCGGGCUCAACCUGGGAACUGCGUUUGUGACUGUAUGACUAGAGUACGGUAGAGAGGGGUGGAAUUCCUGGUGUAGCAGUGAAAUGCGUAGAUAUCAGGAGGAACAUCGAUGGCGAAGGCAGCCCCUUGGACCUGUACUGACGCUCAUGCACGAAAGCGUGGGGAGCAAACAGG
rnacentral:rRNA from 1 species